GAUGAACGCUGGCGGCGUGCCUAAUACAUGCAAGUCGAGCGAACGGACGAGAAGCUUGCUUCUCUGAUGUUAGCGGCGGACGGGUGAGUAACACGUGGAUAACCUACCUAUAAGACUGGGAUAACUUCGGGAAACCGGAGCUAAUACCGGAUAAUAUUUUGAACCGCAUGGUUCAAAAGUGAAAGACGGUCUUGCUGUCACUUAUAGAUGGAUCCGCGCUGCAUUAGCUAGUUGGUAAGGUAACGGCUUACCAAGGCAACGAUGCAUAGCCGACCUGAGAGGGUGAUCGGCCACACUGGAACUGAGACACGGUCCAGACUCCUACGGGAGGCAGCAGUAGGGAAUCUGCCGCAAUGGGCGAAAGCCUGACGGAGCAACGCCGCGUGAGUGAUGAAGGGCUUCGGAUCGUAAAACUCUGUUAUUAGGGAAGAACAGAUGUGUAAGUAACUGUGCACAUCUUGAAGGUACCUAAGCAGAAAGCCACGGCUAACUACGU
rnacentral:rRNA from 1 species